GCUAGGGAUGAAGGAGGAAUGCAGAA
rnacentral:piRNA from 1 species